AUUAGAUGUACAUACUUCUUUAUGUACCCAUAUGAACAUAUGACAGCUAUGGAAUGUAAAGAAGUAUGUAUUUUUGAU
rnacentral:pre_miRNA from 1 species